rnacentral:rRNA from 1 species
UCCGGGUGAUCCCCGCGGGACCCGACUGCUAUCAGAGUGGGACUAAGCCAUGCGAGUCAACAUAGCAAUAUGUGGCAUACGGCUCAGUAACACGUAGUCAACAUGCCCAGGGGACGUGGAUAACCUCGGGAAACUGAGGAUAAACCGCGAUAGGUCAUCACUUCUGGAAUGGGUAAUGACUUAAAUCUAUAUGGCCCCUGGAUUGGACUGCGGCCGAUCAGGCUGUUGGUGAGGUAAUGGCCCACCAAACCUGUAACCGGUACGGGCUCUGAGAGGAGGAGCCCGGAGAUGGGCACUGAGACAAGGGCCCAGGCCCUAUGGGGCGCAGCAGGCGCGAAACCUCUGCAAUAGGCGAAAGCUUGACAGGGUUACUCUGAGUGAUUUCCGUUAAGGAGAUCUUUUGGCACCUCUAAAAAUGGUGCAGAAUAAGGGGUGGGCAAGUCUGGUGUCAGCCGCCGCGGUAAUACCAGCACCUCGAGUGGUCAGGAGGUUUAUUGGGCCUAAAGCAUCCGUAGCCGGCUACGCAAGUCUCCGGUUAAAUCCAGCUGCUCAACAGAUGGGCUGCCGGAGAUACUACAUAGCUAGGGAGCGGGAGAGGUAGACGGUAUUCUGUGGGUAGGGGUAAAAUCCACUGAUCCAUAGAGGACCACCAGUGGCGAAGGCGGUCUACCAGAACGCGUUCGACGGUGAGGGAUGAAAGCUGGGGGAGCAAACCGGAUUAGAUACCCGGGUAGUCCCAGCUGUAAACGAUGCAAACUCGGUGAUGCAUUGGCUUAUGGCCAAUGCAGUGCCGCAGGGAAGCCGUUAAGUCUGCCGCCUGGGUAGUACGGUCGCAAGACUGAAACUUAAAGGAAUUGGCGGGGGAGCA